rnacentral:rRNA from 3 species
AAAUUGAAGAGUUUGAUCAUGGCUCAGAUUGAACGCUGGCGGCAGGCCUAACACAUGCAAGUCGAACGGUAACAGGAAGCAGCUUGCUGCUUUGCUGACGAGUGGCGGACGGGUGAGUAAUGUCUGGGAAACUGCCUGAUGGAGGGGGAUAACUACUGGAAACGGUGGCUAAUACCGCAUAACGUCGCAAGACCAAAGAGGGGGACCUUCGGGCCUCUUGCCAUCAGAUGUGCCCAGAUGGGAUUAGCUUGUUGGUGAGGUAACGGCUCACCAAGGCGACGAUCCCUAGCUGGUCUGAGAGGAUGACCAGCCACACUGGAACUGAGACACGGUCCAGACUCCUACGGGAGGCAGCAGUGGGGAAUAUUGCACAAUGGGCGCAAGCCUGAUGCAGCCAUGCCGCGUGUAUGAAGAAGGCCUUCGGGUUGUAAAGUACUUUCAGCGGGGAGGAAGGUGUUGUGGUUAAUAACCGCAGCAAUUGACGUUACCCGCAGAAGAAGCACCGGCUAACUCCGUGCCAGCAGCCGCGGUAAUACGGAGGGUGCAAGCGUUAAUCGGAAUUACUGGGCGUAAAGCGCACGCAGGCGGUCUGUCAAGUCGGAUGUGAAAUCCCCGGGCUCAACCUGGGAACUGCAUUCGAAACUGGCAGGCUUGAGUCUUGUAGAGGGGGGUAGAAUUCCAGGUGUAGCGGUGAAAUGCGUAGAGAUCUGGAGGAAUACCGGUGGCGAAGGCGGCCCCCUGGACAAAGACUGACGCUCAGGUGCGAAAGCGUGGGGAGCAAACAGGAUUAGAUACCCUGGUAGUCCACGCCGUAAACGAUGUCUACUUGGAGGUUGUGCCCUUGAGGCGUGGCUUCCGGAGCUAACGCGUUAAGUAGACCGCCUGGGGAGUACGGCCGCAAGGUUAAAACUCAAAUGAAUUGACGGGGGCCCGCACAAGCGGUGGAGCAUGUGGUUUAAUUCGAUGCAACGCGAAGAACCUUACCUGGUCUUGACAUCCACAGAAGAAUCCAGAGAUGGAUUUGUGCCUUCGGGAACUGUGAGACAGGUGCUGCAUGGCUGUCGUCAGCUCGUGUUGUGAAAUGUUGGGUUAAGUCCCGCAACGAGCGCAACCCUUAUCCUUUGUUGCCAGCGGUUAGGCCGGGAACUCAAAGGAGACUGCCAGUGAUAAACUGGAGGAAGGUGGGGAUGACGUCAAGUCAUCAUGGCCCUUACGACCAGGGCUACACACGUGCUACAAUGGCGCAUACAAAGAGAAGCGACCUCGCGAGAGCAAGCGGACCUCAUAAAGUGCGUCGUAGUCCGGAUUGGAGUCUGCAACUCGACUCCAUGAAGUCGGAAUCGCUAGUAAUCGUGGAUCAGAAUGCCACGGUGAAUACGUUCCCGGGCCUUGUACACACCGCCCGUCACACCAUGGGAGUGGGUUGCAAAAAGAAGUAGGUAGCUUAACCUUCGGGAGGGCGCUUACCACUUUGUGAUUCAUGACUGGGGUGAAGUCGUAACAAGGUAACCGUAGGGGAACCUGCGGUUGGAUCACCUCCUUA